UAGGAGUGUGUGACCCACUGCAGUUGGGCCCCUCGUGCCCUCCUGGACAAGCGCUGGUCUGGGAAUUCAGAGAGGGCGUCUGGGCUCAGGAUGGAGCCCCUCGCUAUUAGCUGUUUGGUGGAGAGCCAGAACGUUAAUCUUGGGGUGCAUCUGUUUUCUCAGUCAUCUCUCAUAAAAAAUGUUUCAGAGGUUGUUUAUAAUAUAAAGAAUGUACAAGAGCCUCAUUUAUAAUAAGCACUCCUUAAUAUUAUUUAUUUCCUGAUUUCUGAAAGUCUUAAUGAAGACUCACAAGAGCCCCAAAGCAGGAGCAAGAGGGGAACGUCUGGGUGUGUUGAUCCGUCCAGUGCAUAGUGAGGCCUUUGUGUGUCACGUGACUUCUGCCUGCUGGCUUCCAGCUUCAAAGAGAAUAACCACUGCUGUGCUGCUUCUGACCGCUGGGUCCCCAGUCCUCCCUCGCACUUGAAUGUGAUGGAAAGGAAUACUGUUAAGCCCUCAGAUGCUGCUGGUUGAGCUACCACUCAGGAAGGACUGAUGCCUCCUUUUUCACAAAGUUAUUCAGGACAUGUUUUCUUCUAGAAAUGAACAUUUUGCUUCCUUCCCAAACUGCAAUACUGCACUUCAGAACUCACAGGAAUACUUGAUGUAUAGAAGACUAACUGUAUCUCAGAGUAAAAAUAUAAAAGAAAAAUUAUUCUAAAAAUCUGUUCAAGACAACACUGUAUGUGUGUGUGUGUGUGUGAACACUCAGUUGUGUUUGACACUUUGGAACCCCAUGGGCUGUAGCCCACCAGGUUUCUCUGUCCAUGGGGAUUCUGCAGGCAAGAAUACUGGAGUAGGUUGCCAUUUCCUUCUCUAAGGAAUCUUCACGACCCAGGGAUUGAACCCACAUCUCCUACAUUGGCAGGCAGGUUCUUUACUGCGGAGCCACCUGGGAAGCCCUCAAGAUUGUAUAAUG
rnacentral:lncRNA from 1 species